CCAAUGAUUCUCAUCCAGAUUUUGCAGAUAUCCACUCACUGCCCUAGUGAGUAUACCAUAUCUGAUCUCAUACAUAGUGCAUAUGAUAGAAUAAAUUCUACUCAUAAACACUCUAUGUACGUAGACUAGGAUAACUUAAGCAGUCUCUUAGAUCUAUCUCUAUAGAUCUUCAUCUCUAGGAUGAGGAAUACUUUUUCAAGUCCUUUAUGAAGAACAAUGAUAACA
rnacentral:lncRNA from 1 species